AUGCUCCCUCUAUCUCUCUCUCUCUCUCUCAAAUCUCUCUCUCUCUCUCUAUGAACUGUCUGCAACAAAGAACCAUCCUAAUCCGCCACACAUCACCAUCUCCAUCUAGAUCCACCACACCAUCACACCGCCUCCAUCCAGAUCCGCCACACCAUACCACCACCUCCAUCUGAAUUGCCACACAACACCUCCGCCUCCAUCUAGAUCUGCGACAACCACCACCACCGAAAGAAAAAACGUUAUUGUACGGUGAAGAAAGUCAAGGAUGAACUUAUUUUGGAUGGAAAUGACAUUGAGCUUGUUUCCAAAUUGUGUGCCUUGAUUAACCAGAAAUGUCAUGUGAAGAACAAAGAUAUCAGAAAGUUUCUUGAUGGUAUUUAUGUCAGUAACAAGGCAAAGAUAGAUGCGGGUGACAAUUAGUCGGUGGUUGUUAAUGGUGAUGGGUGGUGGUCUUUGAGAGGAAGAGAGAUAGGUGGUGCUAGUGAGGUGUUUAGGUGGUCGUUGUGAUGGUGGCUUGGGUGGUGGCCGGAUGGUGGUUGGAAUGUCAUUGGUGAAGCUUUAGGCUAAAAGUUAGGGAGAAAGAGGGUGUUGACUUGAAAGAGGUUAUUUAGCAACUACGGAAUAGGCUGGAGCUGCUCGGUCUUGACAUAUUGGAAUUUGCAACUUCACCGAAAAAUAUCUUAUUAGGCUUAAGUCACCUUUUAUAUAUUCGAUCCGCCUGUGGAUUUUAG
rnacentral:lncRNA from 1 species